GUUUGGCCCAAAAGUGACUUAAUCCAAAUAUUUUGCCCUAACACGAUUACACGAGUCGUUUUCUGAUUCUCCUACAUCCUCACAAAGAUGCAAACCGAGCACUCUUCUCUCGUUUCUCAGCUGCUCCCUUAUUGUGAUUUAUUAUGUUAAGUCCCAAAUAAUGUCUUCUAAGAGAGCCUCAUCAGUUACAGUUAGUUGUCUUUUGAAGUUGUGCAAAGGAUGUUGCUCACACAAAGGCCUUAGUACAUUGAGUGCUGUUAGUACUGCUGCUGAAAGGACAGAUUUACAGUUUUCUGGUGGUUAUCAAAAUGAUGAUUCUUCAGGUUACCAGCAAAAUCGUGUUGGGUUUUAUCUGGAAAGCCAAAAUAAGGCUGAUUCUUAUGAGCUUUUUGAACAAGCAAAGACCUGAUUAUGUUUCCCAAGCAAAUGCAGGGCAAAAUUCUUAUGGAGCUGGUCAGAUUGCAGAUGGAGGUCAUAUAAAUGUGACCCGAAAUGUUCACAAUAAUUUGGUGGGUCACAAUGGAAGUGUCAAUGGGUACUUUGGUCAAGGCGACAUGAAAAUGCAACAAAAAGUUGGGGCAGGUGUUGAUAAUGCAUGGGGCUCUGGGAUGCAUGCAAAUCCAUUUGUUGAGAAACAUGAUUGGACACAGGAACCUGGACAAGGGAUGCAGUCUCCCAAUGCAUAUAGUUCACCUGGGCCUUUAGAGUCACAGGGAAAUCUUAGAGGGGACCUAAAUCAAAACAUUGAUCAUUUUCAGCAGCCACAAAAUGUUCAUUACAAAGGGAGUCAUGAAAUGCGUCCACAGUACCCAGGUUAUGGACAGUCUCAGCAGAGUCUAAAAGAUGGUCAAUAUUUGCCAAAUUUGAAUACUGCACAAAGAUCAGUGGUUGGCUCUCAUCUAUCAAGUAAUGCAAAUCCUGAUGGCGAAUCAGCCAAAGCAUCUAAUGAUAGUCCAUAUAGAGGUACACUUGAGGAAUUAGAUAAUUUCUGCAUUGAGGGUAACGUGAAGGAAGCAGUUGAAGUUUUGGAAUUGCUGGAAAAACUAGAUAUUCCUGUGGAUUUGCCCCGAUAUUUGCAAUUAAUGCACCAAUGUGGGGAGAAUAAGUCUCUUGAAGAGGCAAAAAAUGUACACAGGCAUGCUUUACAACAUCUGUCACCUCUCCAAGUCAGCACAUAUAAUAGAAUUUUGGAGAUGUAUUUAGAAUGUGGUUCUGUAGAUGAUGCUCUCAACAUUUUCAACAAUAUGCCAGAGCGCAAUUUGACUACUUGGGAUACUAUGAUAACACAGCUUGCUAAGAAUGGGUUUGCCGAAGAUUCAAUUGAUCUAUUUACUCAAUUCAAAAACUUGGGACUGAAACCUGAUGGGCAGAUGUUCAUUGGAGUUCUAUUUGCAUGUGGUAUGCUGGGAGAUAUUGACGAGGGAAUGCAGCACUUUGAAUCCAUGAACAAGGAUUACGGCAUUGUACCAUCUAUGACUCAUUUUGUCAGUGUAGUAGACAUGAUUGGCAGCAUUGGGCAUCUGGAUGAAGCCUUUGAGUUCAUUGAAAAGAUGCCAAUGAAGCCAAGUGCUGAUAUAUGGGAGACUUUGAUGAAUCUCUGUAGAGUUCAUGGGAACACUGGGCUGGGGGAUUGUUGUGCUGAACUAGUUGAGCAGCUAGAUUCUUCUUGUUUAAAUGAGCAAUCAAAGGCUGGUCUUGUACCUGUAAAAGCCUCAGAUUUGACAAAAGAGAAAGAAAAAAGGAUUUUGACAAACAAAAAUCUUCUUGAAGUAAGGAGUCGAGUCCGUGAAUAUCGAGCAGGAGAUACUUUUCAUCCUGAAAGUGAUAAGAUAUAUGCCCUGCUUAGAGGUUUAAAGUCACAAAUGAAAGAAGCUGGCUAUGUUCCAGAGACAAAAUUUGUGUUGCAUGACAUAGAUCAGGAAGGCAAAGAAGAAGCUCUUCUUGCCCACAGCGAGAGACUUGCUAUUGCUUAUGGUCUCCUUAACAGCCCUGCUCGCGCUCCGAUGAGGGUAAUUAAGAACCUCCGUGUUUGUGGUGAUUGCCAUACAGCACUGAAGAUUAUUUCUAAGCUUGUAGGCAGAGAACUCAUUAUUCGAGAUGCGAAAAGGUUCCACCAUUUUAACGAUGGACUAUGCUCCUGCAGGGAUUAUUGGUGAACAUGAACUUAGGACACUCUGUAUCUUGGGGAAAAUGAAAGAAUAUAAAUCCUUGAAUCCCUUGUGCGAAACACUUGUCAAAGGGACUGUUCAAUUGGCCAUAGGACAUGGAAUAAUCAUUCAGCCUCGUCCUGACCCAUCAUUUGAAUUCCGGGCAAAUGCUUGAUAACUCCAUAUUGUUUUACCUGGGGUGAAACAAACCUUUCUGGUGUAAUAUACUUACAAAGUCUUGUUUGAGGGCAUUGAAAGCUUUGUGCAAUAUUUGCGGCGUUGAGCAUAUUAUCUGUUUGCCAUUUUACAACAUGAAUAUGAUGAUGUAUCCUGAUUCCUGACUACCAGAUGGAUUGAAUAGAAUGGCUGUUGGUAAGUAACCCCUCAAGCCAGCAGAUAGGGAAAUUGUUCAUAUAUCUCCCGGUCAUUAAAUUAAAAUUGAUCUUUAUAUCCACGAGGAGAUUGGAAUUUUGUUUAACCAGGCUCUUCCACACUAAUAAAUCAAGCAGUGGGACGUGCAUUCAGGUUGCAGAGGCAUUAUUCAUUGAGUAGUUUUAUAUAAUUGGUUGUUGUAGCUUCCAUAUAAGAUAUAAAUUAUUAUUGUCACUCCAGGCAAGAGAAAAGCUUAUGUAGUUGAUAGACAACAUUUUUUUUGAAAGGCAGUUCAUAGACAACAUUGACAUUCAAUGGUAUAAUUUCAGACAACUUUUUUGGAUGUCAGAACCUAGUCAUUUACCACAAUCUUAAAAUCCAAAUCAUCUGAGUUAUAGUCUAAACUUGUUUGCCUUUCA